rnacentral:rRNA from 1 species
UACGGAGGGUGCAAGCAUUGAUCGGAAUUACUGGGCGUAAAGGGCGCGUAGGCGGCUGGAUAAGUCGGAUGUGAAAUUCCGGGGCUCAACCCCGGAGCGGCAUUUGAAACUGUCUAGCUGGAGUGCAGUUAGGGUAAACGGAAUUCCACGUGUAGCGGUGAAAUGCGUAGAUAUGUGGAAGAACACCGGUGGUGAAGACGGUUUACUGGGCUGUAACUGACGCUGAGGCGCGAAAGCAUGGGGAGCAAACAGG